ensembl:snRNA U6 U6 spliceosomal RNA
GUGCUUACUUCAACAACACAUAUACCAAAAUUGGAAUGAUUCAGAGAAUCAUGGCUCCUGAUCAAGAAUGACAUGCAAAUUCAUGGAGCAUUCCACAUUUUU